CCUACGGGAGGCAGCAGUGGGGAAUAUUGCACAAUGGGGGGAACCCUGAUGCAGCGACGCCGCGUGGGUGAAGGAGUGCUUCGGCAUGUAAAGCCCUAUCGGCAGGGAAGAAACAAGACGGUACCUGACUAAGAAGCCCCGGCUAACUACGUGCCAGCAGCCGCGGUAAUACGUAGGGGGCGAGCGUUAUCCGGAUUCACUGGGUGUAAAGGGAGCGUAGACGGCCAUGCAAGCCAGGGGUGAAAGCCCGGGGCUCAACCCCGGGACUGCCUUUGAACCUGUGCGGCGAGAGUGCGGGAGGGGCAGGCGGAAUUCCUGGUGUAGCGGUGAAAUGCGUAGAGAUCAGGAGGAACACCGGUGGCGAAGGCGGCCUGCUGGACCGCGACUGACGUUGAGGCGCGAAAGCGUGGGGAGCGAACAGGAUUAGAUACCCGGGUAGUC
rnacentral:rRNA from 1 species